rnacentral:rRNA from 1 species
UACGUAGGGCGCGAGCGUUGUCCGGAAUUAUUGGGCGUAAAGAGCUCGUAGGCGGCUUGUCACGUCGGGUGUGAAAGCCCGGGGCUUAACCCCGGGUCUGCAUUCGAUACGGGCAGGCUAGAGUGUGGUAGGGGAGAUCGGAAUUCCUGGUGUAGCGGUGAAAUGCGCAGAUAUCAGGAGGAACACCGGUGGCGAAGGCGGAUCUCUAGUACGGUACUGACGCUGAGGUGCGAAAGCGUGGGGAGCAAACAGG